UCUUACGUCACCCGGACGUGGACUCACGCCACGGCCUCGGGGACGUGUGGACUAGCUAGUCCGACCAAUCCACCCAUCCCAACGUCAGCCUAAGCCGUGGUCCGAGCCUCACAGGAGGCGCCCUUAGGAGGACGUUGCCUCCGACCUCUACAUCUAUUUUCUUCGAGCCCUAGGGCUCAUCCCAGGCGGAGCUUCGCGCUUGCCACCCCCCCCGGUGACGCUGUAGCGGCCAGUAGGGCCUACGCAGCAUAGUCAAUCCGAAACAACACGGAGAAAAAUGUGAUUUCUCACACA